UACAGAGGUCUCAAGCGUUGUUCGGAUUCAUUGGGCGUAAAGGGUGCGUAGGCGGCGCGGCAAGUCGGGUGUGAAAUCUCGGGGCUUAACUCCGAAACUGCAUUCGAUACUACCGUGCUUGAGGACUGGAGAGGAGACUGGAAUUUACGGUGUAGCGGUGAAAUGCGUAGAUAUCGUAAGGAAGACCAGUGGCGAAGGCGGGUCUCUGGACAGUUCCUGACGCUGAGGCACGAAGGUCAGGGGAGCAAACGGG
rnacentral:rRNA from 1 species